AGCUCUGUGAUUACGUGCCUCUAACGGGGGUAAUAUACGCUAUUCUGAUUCAUUGAGUGAGUAGAAAAUUUAUAUCAACAAUGAGAGCU